rnacentral:rRNA from 1 species
UACGGAGGGAGCUAGCGUUGUUCGGAAUUACUGGGCGUAAAGCGCGCGUAGGCGGCUUUGUAAGUUAGAGGUGAAAGCCCGGAGCUCAACUCCGGAACUGCCUUUAAAACUGCAUCGCUUGAAUCCAGGAGAGGUGAGUGGGAAUUCCGAGUGUAGAGGUGAAAUUCGUAGAUAUUCGGAAGAAACACCAGUGGCGAAGGCGGCUCAC